rnacentral:rRNA from 1 species
GACGAACGCUGGCGGCGUGCUUAACACAUGCAAGUCGAACGAUGAAGCCUAGCUUGCUAGGUGGAUUAGUGGCGAACGGGUGAGUAAUACGUGAGUGACCUACCUUUGACUCUGGGAUAAGCCUGGGAAACUGGGUCUAAUACCGGAUACGACCAAUCUCCGCAUGGGGUGUUGGUGGAAAGCGUUAUGGAGUGGUUUUAGAUGGGCUCACGGCCUAUCAGCUUGUUGGUGAGGUAAUGGCUUACCAAGGCGACGACGGGUAGCCGGCCUGAGAGGGUGACCGGCCACACUGGGACUGAGACACGGCCCAGACUCCUACGGGAGGCAGCAGUGGGGAAUAUUGCACAAUGGGCGCAAGCCUGAUGCAGCGACGCCGCGUGAGGGAUGACGGCCUUCGGGCUGUAAACCUCUGUUAGCAUCGAAGAAGCGAAAGUGACGGUAGGUGCAGAGAAAGCGCCGGCUAACUACGUG